GGACGAACGCUGGCGGCGUGCCUAAUACAUGCAAGUCGAACGAACGGAGGAAGAGCUUGCUCUUCCAAAGUUAGUGGCGGACGGGUGAGUAACACGUGGGYAACCUGCCUGUAAGUUGGGGAUAACUCCGGGAAACCGGGGCUAAUACCGAAUGAUAGAGUGUGGCGCAUGCCACGCUYUUGAAAGAUGGUUUCGGCUAUCGCUUACAGAUGGGCCCGCGGUGCAUUAGCUAGUUGGUAGGGUAAUGGCCUACCAAGGCAACGAUGCAUAGCCGACCUGAGAGGGUGAUCGGCCACACUGGGACUGAGACACGGCCCAGACUCCUACGGGAGGCAGCAGUAGGGAAUCUUCCGCAAUGGACGAAAGUCUGACGGAGCAACGCCGCGUGUAUGAAGAAGGUUUUCGGAUCGUAAAGUACUGUUGUUAGAGAAGAACAAGGAUAAGAGUAACUGCUUGUCCCUUGACGGUAUCUAACCAGAAAGCCACGGC
rnacentral:rRNA from 1 species